rnacentral:misc_RNA from 1 species
GCUAGUCGCUCCGCGACCGUCUCUGGACGCGGACGGAAGGUGCCGAAGGUCACGUCGCGACCCUCAGGAAGUUGUAGCCCCGUUUCCGGCUUCGAAUCUCUCGCGGUGACGCCGGAAAUUCGUUGGAUCUCCUCGAUCCCCUCUUCCGGGGAUUCUUCGGCUCUAGCUCGCCCUGGCCUGCGGACUCGUUCCUCUUCGGGAGCCUCUCCGCGGUCUGUCGCGGAGACGGUGGUACCCCGCGACCCCGCGCUAUGUGGUUCGCCGGCUGUCAUUCCGGCGCAGGAAGUGCGGCUAACGGGGUUCGCCACGAGACCGGGUACGAUGGCUUCGAUCGGUAGUUGGCUCCGAUACGGAAUUCGGUGGGAGGUCCGCGAGAGUGGUGAACGCCCUUAAUCGAGGUGAUGCCGAAGGAAGCUUGUACCGGGCUGCUGAUCGUGACACUGGUGCUGGUAGGCAGCCUGUCCCGCCUCGUAUGGACGAGGAGGACCUCUCCAGGGUCUCCUGGGUCUUCGGGGAGGCAGCCGAUCUGCAGGGCGGGCCUGGAGUUCUGGUCGGCGGAGCGGCUCGGCUGCGUGCCCUGCACGAUAUGCGCCCCGGACGUCACGGUCAGUCCCUGCGCGAUCCACAAGGACGCGACCUGCGGCCCGCUCUCCGCCCUGGAGCUAGACUGGUCGUUCCUCUCUCGAGGACGAAAAAAGGAGUCGGAAGCGCCCCUGGACUCGAGGGUCCUCUGGCCGUUCCCGGGGGACCGGGAGCAGCGGCCCGGCCCCUUAGACGACGUCCUGCUGGAGCUCGCCUCGGGUGGCGAGAGUACCGGGAAGCUCGGCGACGAGUACGAGGAGAGGUGGAUAGAGGACGUCCUGGAGAGGCGAUCCGACCGAGAGGAGACAGGGACCUACUGGGACCUGCAGACCGGUACCCUGAUCCUGGCGGUCUGCGCCUGCAUCCUUUUCUUCACGGUCGUCGGCCUGUCCGCCCUCGUGUACGCCAGGCAAUGGCGCAGGAUGAAGAAGAACUUCCAGCCAGCAGGCCUCGAAGAGAUCUUCGCCACGCUGAACUCGAUGGUGAAGGCUGAGCUGGCGGAACUCCCGUCGGAGGACCCGACGAGCGCUCACGAUCCGGAGAACGGGUACCAGUGCCUGGAGAAGCUCCUAGACCGAAAGCCCGCGACGCUCGGCUGGCGCGAGGACGGGGGUAACCUGUACAUCGAGGAGGGCAACAACUCGGCGAGCAGGCACCUGGACAUCGUCCAGGUCCACAGGAACGUCGAGAGGACGAGUAACGAUAUGUGACCCCGUAGGGAGGAGUUCUCGCCCUCGUCCAAGUACAACUGUACAGUAGUAGCUCUAUGAAAUUACCAUUACCGACCGGUUAAACCGGACCGUUCGUGCCUCUACCGGAGGUCGUCACUUUCUGGACACCCUCUUCGAGGGCACUGGAACGUCCUCGUCCGACUAUUGCACCUCGUCAGCGCUAUAACGGAGCUCCGAUUGCAGCCGGAAGACUCGAGCCGCGAACUCGAGCCUCCCGAGGCCCCGCACAAAAUUUACA